CACACUAUACUGUAAUGUUGUCUGUCACUUUCCCAUGACCCUGCCGGCUUAUAGCCUACAGGUCCCAGGAGAUGAAAAACAAGGAAAGAAAAGGAGAAAGGUCUUCAAAAAAUCCUAAAAUCUGAGGAGAUAGAAAUGAAGAGGAGGAAAAAGUCUGGUAGAGAACAGAGUGAGAUUUGUUGAAAAGCAGAAUCAAAGAAGAACAUGCAAGGAGUGAAGCAAGUAAAUUUGAAGAUGGAGAAAGAGGAGGAUAUUUGGUAGAAAGAAAAGGGAGAUUUAUUGAAAGCUGUAAAAGGAGAAAAAACAGACAGUUGAGCAAUACAGGGUUCCUCUGCAUAUUCCCGUGUUACUUUACCACCCCAUUCGCUGUGCCUCUGCAUCUCCUUCCACAUUUCGCU